CUUUUGUUAGUUUUAAGGGAGAGAAAACCAUCACCAUUUGCUCUCAGGGAUCUUAAUUACCGUAGAACAACUCCAGAAAAAAGGCAUUACUUUCUUCUUUAGGGUGAUGCCUAAUGGCCUGUCUGUCUUGUUGGCAUUGCACGACUCCUGCCAGAGUGGCCAAUGAAGAGAUCCAAAAUCAGGCUUCAGACUGUGUGGAUGUCCUGGGACUCUCUUCCUAGAGGGUUGGAUAAAUCUGCACCCAACCACCCAGCCUCCCAGUUACUGCUCCCAUAGGGCAGCUGGAGCAACGGGACUCAACUAGCUGAGUUUGAGUCUGAGCUUCCUGCUACUUCCUCAGCUUUGUCUUCCUUGGCUUGAUUAAGGACUGUCUCACAGAAGCCCUGAAACAACAUGUCUAAUUUUGGAGGAAAUUGUACGUUUAAAGGUUAGAGAUCUUGGGUCCAUUGGUCAGAACUGGCAGGAAGCAAGAGAAGUUCCUCCCUCAGAGAAGAUGGCCCAGGACAAGGGGCAGAGAGCACACUCUGGAGUUAUUUGGACAGUGCAGAGAAGAGGUGAAAUGUGACAAUGCUCCUUUAGCAGUUCCUCAAGCUGUUUCAUGUUCCACUGUUCAAAUUGCAGCCUCCAGGCUGAGUCUAAAAAUAAUUAAAAUUGCUAAUGGUUUAAUUUGGUCAGCUUUUGUCCCUGUGCACUAAGAACAGCAGUAGUUAUAAGUUAUUGAACAUUGUUUUAGGUCUUUCUGCCAAUACAAGCUGAGUAUCUGAUAUGUGGGAUGGAUGUCUUCUUAAAGAGUACCAAGAAUAGAUCUGGAAUAUUCCCCUCCAAGGGAAGCUACUGACUUUUUAGACUUUGCCUCAGCUGCAAUCUCACCAUGAAACAUUCCUCUGUACCUGGGAACUUCUCACCAUAGAACAUUACCCAUUUUCCUUGUCUGCUUCCUUCUCCCAUUGGUGAAUUCCUCCUGUUGCUUUUGAGGAGAAACCUAGGCUGGCCAACCUUGAUUCCUCUAUCCACCAUGCUUCUGAUUUUACUGAUUUCAAGAGCAGGCUCUGACUCCAGUAUCUCUCCCCCCCCCACCUUUUUAAUUCCCUUUUGUGUGUUGUCUUCCUCUAUUAGAAUGUAAGCUUCUCGAUAAUUAGGAAAAAGACUUGUACAAGAAUAUUCAUAGCUGCACUCUUUGUGGUGGCAAAAAUUUGGAAAAUUAAGGGAUGCCCUUCGAUUGGGGAAUGACUGAACAAAUUGUGGUAUCUGUUGGUGAUGGAAUUCUAUUGUGCUCAAAGGAAUAAUGAACUGGAGGGAUUCCAUGUGAACUGGAACGACCUCCAGGAAUUGAUACAGAGUGAAAGAAGCAGAAGCAGGAGAACGUUGUACACGGAGACAGAUACAUUAUAGCACAAUCAAAUGUAAUGGACUUUUCUACUAGCAGCAAUGCAAUGAUCCAGGACCAUUUUGAGGAACUUAUGAGAAAGAAUGUAUCCACAUCCAGAGAAAGAACUGUGGGAGCAGAAACACCGAAGAAAAACAACUAUUUGAUCACAUGAAUCGAUGGAUAUAUGAUUAGGGAUGUAGACUCUAAAGGAUCACCCUGGUGCAAAUAUCAAUAAUAUGGAAAUAGAUCUUGAUCAAUGACACAUGUAAAACCCAAUGGAAUUGUGCAUUGGCUACAGGAGGGGGGGAGGAGGAAGGGAGGGAAAGAACAUGAAUUGUAACCAUGGAAAAAUAGUCUAAAUUAAUCAAUAAAAUUAAAUUAAAAAGAAAAAAGAAUGUAAGCUCCUUGAGGGCAGGGCCUGCCUUUCUUUUUUGUUUGUAUCACCAAUAGGUAGUGUGGACCUGGCACACAGAAAGUGCUUAGUAAGUAAGCUUCUUGCUUCUCUGCCUCUGAUUUACUCAAACUAGCAACAACAACAUGGUUCUUCCUUCUGUAGUUCAGCCUUUCUCAGCUAGUUGAUGAAGCUGAUACAACACAAGGCCUGGAGUCAGGGAGAUGUCCUCACAAUUUCAAACCUGGCCUCAGACAUUUACUAGCUGGGUGACCCUGGGCAAGUUAUUUUACCCAUUUGGCUUCAGUUUCCCCAUCUAUAAAAUGAGCUGUCGAAGGAAAUGGCAAACUACUCCAGUAUUUUUGCCAAAAAAAAAAAAACACAACUUAAAAAAAAACCAAAACCCAAAUGGGGCCACAAAGAGCUGGACAAAACUGAAAUCCGAACAACAAAAAUCUCCACUGUAAGUCAGAGUAGGAGGAAUUUGAUCCCUAAUUAAUGGACUGCAUGGAACUUUUCCUAUCCAAAGGAAUUUCUCCUGAAAUCUUUGAUUUAAAGUUGAUGAGAAACAUAUUGUAUUAAUGCUCAUUCAGUGGGAAGAAAUCCAGGCCAAACCUAAAUCCUAGAAUCAUAGAUCAAGAGCCUUAAACUAGAAUAUUAAUUCUGAGUGAAAAAGAAGUUGUGUGAGCCAACUCUCUCAUCUGAUGGAUAAAUACCCUGAAGGCCAGAGAGGCUGAGAAACUUCACUGGGCUCAGAUGCCUAAUUUGACAGAGCUAAAACCUGAAUUCAAAUCUCCCCAAUUCUAGGUCCUUUUUUACCCCACCCCCCAUUGUACUUUGUAAAGCCUCCACAAAUGAUGGAAGUCAUUCUAAUAGU